UUAAAAGUAAGUUAAAAAAACUAAAGGAUUCAUACUCCUUAAAUGAUCUAUUCCUUUUAAA
rnacentral:tRNA from 1 species